GACGCUAUAGCUCAGUGGCUUUAGAGCAUACGAUUGCAAUUUCUUGAUAUCGUGAGGUCCCGUGUUCGACCCACGGUAGCGUCU